rnacentral:lncRNA from 1 species
UUGCUUGAUUGGCCAAAGCGUUUCCACAUCAUCAACGGAAUUGCUCGUGGCUUAUUGUAUCUACAUCAAGAUUCUAGACUACGGAUUAUCCAUAGAGACCUUAAAGCAAGCAAUGUUUUGUUAGACAUGGAAAUGAAUCCAAAGAUAUCGGACUUUGGCAUGGCUCGAAGUGUUACAGGAAAUGAGAUGGGUGCAAAAACAGGCAAAGUUGUUGGGACACAGUACGAAUCUCUAACAUCAUACACUUUACUCUCAUAUGACAUCUUGCUUCUUUAAUUCUUAUGGUGUUGUUUUAUUUGCACAGUGGUUACAUGUCCCCUGAAUAUGCAGUAGAUGGGAUGUUUUCGGUAAAAUCAGAUGUGUUUAGCUUUGGCGUAUUGGUGUUAGAGAUUGUGAGUGGCAAGAAAAAUAGAGGAUUUUCCCAUCAAGACCACAACCUUAACCUUCUCGGUCACGUAAGCACUGUUUAACCUGUAUUGCACACACAAGUCAUUCUUUUCUUUAGAAAAAUAGAGAUUGUCAUGAUUCAUAAGACAAAACUCAAACAGGCAUGGAAGCUUUACAAAGAGGAUAGGUCGUUGGAACUAGCUGAUGAGCAGCUAGCUGACUCGUGCAAAACUUCUCAAAUUUUAAGGUCCAUUCAAGUGGGUUUACUAUGCGUGCAACAACAUCCGAAUGAUAGACCAAGCAUGUUUUCUGUGGUUCAGAUGUUGGCUAAUGAGAGUCUACUGCCAAAAGCAAAAGAGCCAGGAUUUUUCACAGAACGAAAUGUAUAUGACGAAGGAAAAUCCGGAUCGCAGAUAACAAGUUCAAAAAAUGAAGUCACAAUCACAUUAUUAGAUCCUCGUUAGGUAGGUGUGACAAAAUAAUUAGUUAAACUUAGAACUAUGGCUAUUGUGAAAUAAAGUAGUAAUACUUGAAAUAAACAUCAAGUUGAUUUUUUCUACUUGAAGAUAUUAUCUACUUAAUGGUUGUAUCUUAUCAUCUAUUUGUGUUGUUCUUUGAAUAUAUAUACUUGAGAUAAGUUAUGAAUAUAACAACAAUGAAGAAGAAACUAAUUUCAAUGACCAAAUAGUCUCCGUUCAAAGCCCAACCUAACAUGAGGCCUAACUGUAGUUUCACAUUCACACUAACAAGAAUUUUAGUUUCAUCGUCAAUCAUUCAUGUUUUUAGAAUAUAAGCUAUAACGAUGUGGCAUUAAAUGUACCGACAAAAUGAUGAAAGGGGUGAUGAUGUGUCAUUUUAUGAAGUAAAAGAAUGAUUUUUCAAUGAAUUGUUUACUUUUGACACAUAAUUUGAAUAAGUCAUUAUGUGAAAAAAUUGAUAACCCCAUACAAGAAAAAAGAAAAAAAGAAGAAGAUAUUAGUGCUAAAAAGUUUAUUAUUUAUUUUGUCAUGUUAUUUUUCUCCUAUCCGCUCAUCGCGAAGAAACGAGAUUAUUGUUUGAUGCUUAUUUAAUAAAAUAUUGUCAAAGUUUUUAUCUCGUCACUGGUCCCUAUAGUUAAACUAAAGUAAGUAUUAAAUUACUAGGGAGGAAAAAAAAAUAAGAAGAAAACAUACAGAAAAACACAUCAAAUGCUAUCAACUUCUUUAUUUAGAGCAAACGUUUGUACAAUUACAACUUUAUAUAAAGGAACUUAAUCAAAAUUAGGUUCCCCAUCAAUCCUAAUUUUCAGUAGUACAAUUAAAACUGACUGUACAAGAGUUCAAUACUUUUUUGAAAUUUAAACUUCUACUGCUUGGUCUCAAUUAGUAUUUUUCAAUAUUUUAAUGAAAUGCAUGUGAGAUUAAUACAUUAACCUUUCUAAAUUCUAAUUCAUUAACUAAGAUUAUUCAUACUGUAUUACAAUAAUAUCAAUUAUAAUAAUAUCUUCUUCCAUUACAAGAUUCACGUUCCAACGUAUAAUACGAGUCUACCAAUUUUAGUGACUUCCAAAUAUGAAUUUAAGAGUGAGGUUGGACGUGUGAUCCUCCAUUUAUAUCACUUCACUUACAAAUACAAAUUGAAGGAAGUCUAUUUCAUGUAGUUUAUUAUCACAUGAAAGUUGAGAACUAUUUUUUCCUAACUCACACGGCAAUAUCCUUCUCUUCCUUCGAAUAAUAUAGACAUAUCAAUUUUUAAUACACAAUUUGAGGUGAACUCUUUGAAAACUAAAGGGAAAAAAAAGCAAGCAAGAGAAAACUGGACUAUAAUUACUAAAAUGUCAUAGAAUUUGAAAAAUUGCUGGUGAAAAAAUCGAAACCUAGGUAAGACCACCAAAUGUCCAUCCAUAAUCAUACCGUAUUUUGCAUGAAAUCAGCCAAGAAACUUAGAUGUCAAAGUAGGAGUAGUUGAAUUCUCCCUUCUGCAGUGACUGCAACAUUGAUUGUAGAGAUUGAUGGUGAAUGCCGAAUAACGUUUUGAGAUAUUUACUAGACAAAUUAUCUCACGUCGACAAUGACUAGUAAAAAUAAACAAUACUAGUAAAUGCCGUGUCCCAAAGGCAUGUCAAUUGUCAAGUAGUAGAAAUUAACACAAUUUAAUUCUUGAUUGUGAAACAAAAUCUGAAGUCUAAACUCUAACUAUUGUGGGCGAUAUAUAGGCCACACAACUUAAACUUAGACAUCAAGGCAUAGUAAAUGGGAACUAUUUUCUUCCUACUAAUUUUCCUACUGUCUUUCUACUAUUGCAUACCCAAGAUCAUUUCCACUACAACAAAUGUAAUCACGACAAAUCAGUCAAUUGCAGAUGGUGAAACUGUUGUUUCAUCUGGUGGAACCUUUGAGCUGGGAUUUUUCAGCCCCAAUAAUUCGACAAAGCGAUACAUUGGGAUAUGGUACAAGCAAAUUCUUCCUCAUAUGCAAACAGUUGUAUGGGUUGCAAACAGAGAGAAACCACUCACCAAUACAUCGUUAGUCGUUUUGAAGGUUAACAAGCGGGGAAUACUUGCUCUUCUCAAUGGCAAAAAUGAAAUGAUAUGGUCCACAAACACCUCAAGAUCAGUCCAAAAUCCUGUUGCAAUACUUUUAGAUUCUGGUAAUCUUGUUGUCAAAGAUGCAAAUGAUGACAAUCCAGAAAAUUUCCUCUGGCAGAGCUUCCAUUUCCCAACUGAUACGCACUUGCCUGAAAUGAAGCUUGGAAAGAAUUUUAAGACUGGCCAUGAGGUUUACCUUUCAGCAUGGAAGAACGAUAAUGAUCCAGCUGCAGGUGAAUUCAUGCAUCACAUUGAUCCUACUGGAUAUCCACAAGCCCUCAUCAAAAGUGGCACAAGUGUAACAGCUCGUAUAGGACCAUGGAAUGGUUUACGAUGGAGUGGAUCACCUAUACCACUACUAGAAUGCUGUCUUUUUCAAUUUAUUUUCAAUGAGCAGGAGCUUUACUACAGGUUUACACUAAUUAACAGCUUGGACUUAACAAGACUAGUCCUGAAUAGCAAUGGUUAUAUACAACAUUUGAAGUGGGUGGAAUGGACAAAGAGAUGGCAUAUUUACUACAAUUUGCCAGCGGAUUAUUGUGAUACAAAUAGCCUAUGUGGUGCCUAUGGGAGCUGUGACAUAGAUGAUACACCGGUUUGUGGAUGUUUGGAAAAGUUUGUAGCUAAAUAUCCACAUCAAUGGGAAAAGGGAGAUUGGUCAGAAGGGUGUGUCCGCAGGACACCCUUAAAUUGCAAAACUGAACAUGUAUUCAUAAAAUAUUCUGGAAUCAAACUGCCAAAUACUAAGUACUCUCGGUAUAAUAAAACCAUGACACUCAAAGGGUGUAGGCAAGUAUGCUCCAGGAACUGCUCUUGCACAGCUUAUUCAAGUCUACAUAUAAGCAACGGAGACAAAGGUUGCUUGCUUUGGUUUGGGGAAUUGAUUGACAUCCGAAAGCUGUCUGAAAGAGGGCAAGACAUUUACAUCAAGAUGGAUUCUUCAGAGCGAGGUAAUAACUUGUUUAGGAAAUUUCCCAUGACGUGUUUUUUACACUUAGUGGCCUAUCUCGGUUUGCCAUGGCUGAUUUAAGAAAUUGAUUGCAGAAUCUGAUGCAGGUUCAAAAAGAAAUAAGGCAAUGAUACUCAUACUCAUGAGUUUCUCAUUGUUGAUGGCAAUGAUUCUGUUUAGCCUGAUUUUUUUGUUGUACAAAGGGAAAAAGAAGAAGAAGCUGCAACUCAAAGAAGAUUUUGAGCUGCAAAUGUUGCAAUUUUCGACAUUAACAAGGGCCACGAAUAACUUUUCGCUCAACAACAAGAUUGGAGAAGGUGGAUUUGGACCUGUUUACAAGGUACAUAGUGCAAAUUUGCUGCAACAUUCUCGUCUUUGUAAAAUCUCUGUUCUGCUAUUAUACAUUUGUAAAGAAAUGGACCUUGCAUAACUCAACCUAAAAAGUAAACCAUAAAUUGGGAUGGGCUUGACUCUAAGACCAUGUAAUGAAAUGAACCUUGGGCUUAACUCAACUCAAAUGCUAGCUUAUGAGGGGAGGAUUGCCCAAGAUCACAUAAGGAGUCCAAAUUCUCCUCAUCCCACCAUGUGACUCUAACACAUUUGCCAUUUCUAGGGAUUGCUGGAAGAUGGGCAAGAAAUUGCCGUGAAGAGACUGUCAAGAACUUCCAUGCAAGGACUUGAUGAAUACAAAAAUGAAGUUAUCUAUAUUGCCAAGCUUCAGCAUCGAAAUCUUGUGAGACUUCUGGGCUACUGCAUCCAAGGGGAAGAAAAGAUGUUGAUCUAUGAAUACAUGCCUAAUAGAAGCCUGGAUUCCUACAUAUUUGGUUUGGAUUUCUAACCUACUAUACAAGAUAAAAUGAAUAAUACUUUGAUCUAUUAGUCACAACUUGAAAAAAACUGCUAACUAAAAAACUUAUCUUGUAGAUCAAACAAAGAAAAAAUUACUUGAUUGGCCAAAGCGUUUUCACAUCAUCAAUGGAAUUGCUCGUGGCUUAUUAUAUCUCCAUCAAGAUUCUCGACUACGAAUUAUUCACAGAGACCUUAAAGCAAGCAAUGUUUUGCUAGAUAUAGAAAUGAAUCCAAAGAUAUCAGACUUUGGCAUGGCCAAAAGUGUUACAGGAGAUGAGAUGGGAGCAAAAACACA